rnacentral:tRNA from 1 species
AGUAAUGAAGUAAAAAAUUACAAUUAGUUUCGACCUAAAAUUAAGGAUAAUUUCCUCUUACUU